GAUGAAGAACGCAGCAAAAUGCGAUACUUGGUGUGAAUUGCAGAAUCCCGUGAACCAUCGAGUUUUUGAACGCAAGUUGCGCCCGAAGCCUUUUGGCCGAGGGCACGUCUGCCUGGGCGUCACGCAUCGCGUCGCACCCCACAAUUCUCCGUAAAGGGAACAUGUGUUUUGGGGGCGGAUAUUGGUCUCCCGUGCUCAUGGCGUGGUUGGCCGAAAUAGGAGUCCUUUCGAUGGACGCACGAACUAGUGGUGGUCGUAAAAACCCUCGUCUUUUGUUUCGUGCUGUUGCUCGCAAGGUAAACUCUUUAAAAACCCCAAUGUGUCGUCUCUUGACGACGCUUCGACCGCGACCCCAGGUCAGGCGGGACUACCCGCUGAGUUUAAGCAUAUCAAUAAGCGGAGGA
rnacentral:misc_RNA from 1 species